rnacentral:rRNA from 1 species
GACAGAGGGGGCAAGCGUUGCUCGGAAUCACUGGGCGUAAAGGGCGCGUAGGCGGAAUGGCAAGUCGGUCGUGAAAUCCUUCGGCUCAACCGAAGAACGUCGAUCGAAACUGCCGUUCUUGAGGAUUGCAGAGGAGACUGGAAUUCCCGGUGUAGCGGUGAAAUGUGUAGAGAUCGGGAGGAACACCGGUGGCGAAGGCGGGUCUCUGGGCAAUUCCUGACGCUGAGGCGCGAAAGCGUGGGGAGCAAACGGG